GAAUAGGCGCAUAAGCAACAACUUUAGGUAAGUUUUGUCCUUAGCAAAAAUAUGCAUGUGACAAUAGCAACAAUAUAGUAGUACACGCCAGGGCACAUGCUAGAAAGCCACGAAGCUCUGCCUUUUUCUAUUACAAUCACAAAUCCUUAAAGAGACAGUAUACUAGAUUGGUCCACAACUUCACAUAACCUUGUUAGUAGUAGUGCAAAGUACAUCAAGAAUUUGUACUAACUUUAACUUUAAAAUUCCACUAGCUCAGACAACUUCACAUAACCUUGUUAGUAGUAGAGCAACGUACAUCAAGAAUUUGUACUAACUUUAACUUUAAAAUUCCACUAGCUCACAUGCUCGUGGACUCCCAAAAAAAAAAAAGUGAAGAGUACUAGAUAUUUCAUCAAAUUAAACAUUUUACAUUUCCUCAUUAUUCAACCAUACCACA
rnacentral:lncRNA from 1 species